rnacentral:rRNA from 1 species
ACAUGCUUACAACAUAAUGUUAAUGCACUGGAUUCCAUUAGAACUCCGUAGUUAAGCGCGCUCAGGCUAGAGUAGUACUGCGAUGGGUGACCCUAUGGCAUUUUAGUCCAAUUUUUC